UACGGGGGGAGCAAGCGUUGUUCGGAUUUACUGGGCGUAAAGGGCGCGUAGGCGGUCGUGACAAGUCACUUGUGAAAUCUCCGGGCUUAACUCGGAACGGUCAAGUGAUACUGUCGGACUAGAGUACGGAAGAGGCGAGUGGAAUUCCCGGUGUAGCGGUGAAAUGCGCAGAUAUCGGGAGGAACACCAAUUGCGAAGGCAGCUCGCUGGGACGUUACUGACGCUGAGACGCGAAAGCGUGGGGAGCAAACAGG
rnacentral:rRNA from 1 species